GAUGAACGCUGGCGGCGUGCUUAACACAUGCAAGUCGAACGGAAAGGCCCAAGCUUGCUUGGGUACUCGAGUGGCGAACGGGUGAGUAACACGUGGGUGAUCUGCCCUGCACUUCGGGAUAAGCCUGGGAAACUGGGUCUAAUACCGGAUAGGACGAUGGUUUGGAUGCCAUUGUGGAAAGUUUUUUCGGUGUGGGAUGAGCUCGCGGCCUAUCAGCUUGUUGGUGGGGUAAUGGCCUACCAAGGCGUCGACGGGUAGCCGGCCUGAGAGGGUGUACGGCCACAUUGGGACUGAGAUACGGCCCAGACUCCUACGGGAGGCAGCAGUGGGGAAUAUUGCACAAGGGGCGCAAGCCUGAUGCAGCGACGCCGCGUGGGGGAUGACGGCCUUCGGGUUGUAAACUCCUUUCGCUAGGGACGAAGCGUUUUGUGACGGUACCUGGAGAAGAAGCACCGGCUAACUACGUG
rnacentral:rRNA from 1 species